GGGAUUUGCUGGGAUAAAGGGAUUUGUAUGACCAUUUUAUGACUAAGGAAUUCAGAAUAAUGAAGGUUUAGUCCUCAUUUGUAAAAGUAAUCUAAAUAUAAACAUACCUUGCUUUUCAGACUGUCCAGGAGGUCUUGAACCUGCAUCCAAACCUGGUUAAAUUCUCUGGAUCCUGCGAUCCAGACAGUGCAACUCUCAUACUCACUGAGGACAACAUUACUCUGACUUUCAGCUUCUCUUUGAAUUCCACUUCAAACAAGUAUCAUCUUAGUGUGUUGGAGUUGUCAGCUGCAUUGCCUGAUAUGACUAAGCACAUUGUUUUCAG